rnacentral:rRNA from 1 species
AUUGAACGCUGGCGGCAGGCCUAACACAUGCAAGUCGAGCGGAUGAAGGGAGCUUGCUCCUGGAUUCCGCGGCGGACGGGUGUGUAAUGCCUAGGAAUCUGCCUGGUAGUGGGGGAUAACGUCUGGAAACGGGCGCUAAUACCGCAUACGUCCUGCGGGUGAAAGUGGGGGAUCUUCGGACCUCACGCUAUCAGAUGAGCCUAGGUCGGAUUAGCUAGUUGGUGGGGUAAAGGCCUACCAAGGCGACGAUCCGUAACUGGUCUGAGAGGAUGAUCAGUCACACUGGAACUGAGACACGGUCCAGACUCCUACGGGAGGCAGCAGUGGGGAAUAUUGGACAAUGGGCGAAAGCCUGAUCCAGCCAGGCCGCGUGUGUGAAGAAGGUCUUCGGAUUGUAAAGCACGUUAAGUUGGGAGGAAGGGCAGUAAGUUAAUACCAUGCUGGUUUGACGUUACCAACAGAAGAAGCACCGGCUAACUUCGUG